UGGACCUCAGAUCAGGCAAGAUCACCCGCUGAGUUUAAGCAUAUCACUAAGCGGAGGAAAAGAAACUAACGAGGAUUUCCUUA
rnacentral:rRNA from 1 species